UUUUUUUUUUUUUUUUUUUUUUUUUUUUUUUUUUUUAGAAAAUAUAAAACUAAAUCUUAGUUAACAUAAAGUAUUACUUAUUGACACACGG
rnacentral:ribozyme from 12 species